rnacentral:rRNA from 1 species
AACGCGAAGAACCUUACCUGGGCUCGAAAUGUAGUGGAAUGGGGUGGAAACAUCCCCGUCUCGCAAGAGACUGCUAUAUAGGUGCUGCAUGGCUGUCGUCAGCUCGUGUCGUGAGAUGUUGGGUUAAGUCCCGCAACGAGCGCAACCCUUAUCCCUAGUUGCCAUCGGGUCAAGCCGGGCACUCUAGUGAAACCGCCCGGGAUAACCGGGAGGAAGGUGGGGAUGACGUCAAGUCCUCAUGGCCUUUAUGUCCAGGGCUACACACGUGCUACAAUGGUCGGUACAAACCGUCGCAAACCCGCGAGGGGGAGCUAAUCGGAAAAAGCCGGCCUCAGUUCGGAUUGGAGUCUGCAACCCGACUCCAUGAAGCUGGAAUCGCUAGUAAUCGCGGAUCAGAACGCCGCGGUGAAUACGUUCCCGGGCCUUGUA